rnacentral:rRNA from 1 species
AACGAACGCUGGCGGCAGGCUUAACACAUGCAAGUCGAACGCAUGCCUUCGGGCAUGAGUGGCAGACGGGUGAGUAACGCGUGGGAACCUACCCCUUGGUACGGGAUAGCUCCGGGAAACUGGAGAUAAUACCGUAUGUGUCCUGAGGGACAAAGAUUCAUCGCCAAGGGAUGGGCCCGCGUCGGAUUAGCUAGUUGGUGGGGUAACGGCCUACCAAGGCGACGAUCCGUAGCUGGUCUAAGAGGAUGAUCCGCCACAUUGGGACUGAGACACGGCCCAAACUCCUACGGGAGGCAGCAGUGGGGAAUAUUGGACCAUGGGCGCAAGCCUGAUCCAGCCAUGCCGCGUGAGUGAUGAAGGCCCUAGGGUUGUAAAGCUCUUUCACCGGUGACGAUAAUGACGGUAACCGGAGAAGAAGCCCCGGCUAACUUCGUG